GGCCCUCACCAGAGCCCUGCAGAACUGGCCCCCUGCUCCUGGAUGCCCAGACAAGAUAAACAGAUAUCCCAACCUUGGAUAUUUUCUUAUGAAAUCCUGCUUCAGGAGGUCUGAGGCCUGAGAACCUGCCUUUCUGACACCUUCCCAGGGGAGCUGGGGCUGCAGCAGUCCCCCUUAGAUUGUGAAGCAUCUCCAGCCUUCUGCAGCAAACUCUAACAUCUAAUGCUAUUUUGAAAGGCAGCAAGGACAUCAAACUCCUUGUAAGAUGGCUGUUUGCUGUUGCUUCUGCCAUUGUGGCUAUAUUUGAGAAUCAGCAAACUCCAAGAAAGCUUGUGGACUCUCCUAACUCCAGGAAAGCUUGUGGACAGCCUGUCCAUGGUGGAGUUUGGCCAGAAGGCCACUUCUCCCAGUUUUGGCAUAAUGGAAAUGUUAACAGACCCCAUCGCCCACUCUUCACUCUGCAGAGCAGAAGCACCAGGGCAGCCACUGCCAUUUUCUUACCAUCUCUUGACAUUCCAAGCCAGCUGCUGCAUGAAGGAAGAGCAGUUAGCCAGUGUUCAAGUUCCAGGUCUGGAACAGAGAACCACUGAGUGUGAUCUGACAAAAAACACUACGAGAAAGGAUUAUGGCAGCUUUCCUUGACUCCCACUCUUCCUGACUUGUUAGAAUUAAUCUUCUUAGAUCAGAUGCAACAUUUUGGAAGAGUAUAAUAUAAAUGCAUGUCAUGUAAAGAGGCAGUCUAAAUAUACAGCCAGGGAGUUCAAAAAAUUUUGCAAAAACACAAAAAAAUUGCAAGGGUAUGUCAGAGAGUUUUUGAAUUAAAAACAUGUGAAUUUUGAGCACUUAUCA